AACGAACGCUGGCGGCAUGCCUAACACAUGCAAGUCGAACGAGACCUUCGGGUCUAGUGGCGCACGGGUGCGUAACGCGUGGGAACCUGCCCUUAGGUUCGGAAUAACUCCCCGAAAGGGGUGCUAAUACCGGAUAAUGUCUUCGGACCAAAGAUUUAUCGCCUUUGGAUGGGCCCGCGUUGGAUUAGCUAGUUGGUAGGGUAAAAGCCUACCAAGGCGACGAUCCAUAGCUGGUCUGAGAGGAUGAUCAGCCACACUGGGACUGAGACACGGCCCAGACUCCUACGGGAGGCAGCAGUAGGGAGUAUUGGACAAUGGGCGAAAGCCUGAUCCAGCAAUGCCGCGUGAGUGAUGAAGGCCUUAGGGUUGUAAAGCUCUUUUACCCGGGAUGAUAAUGACAGUACCGGGAGAAUAAGCUCCGGCUAACUCCGUG
rnacentral:rRNA from 1 species